rnacentral:rRNA from 1 species
AUGAGUUAAGUAUAAACCCCUUUACAAGUAUCAAUUGGAGGGCAAGUCUGGUGCCAGCAGCCGCGGUAAUUCCAGCUCCAAUAGCGUAUAUUAAAGUUGUUGCAGUUAAAAAGCUCGUAGUUGGAUUUCUGUUAAUAAUUUAUAUAUAAUAUUUUAAAGAUAUUUAUAUAAUAUUAACAUAAUUCAUAUUACUAAUUAAUUAGUAUAUGAAAUUUUACUUUGAGAAAAUUAGAGUGCUUAAAGCAGGCAUUAGCCUUGAAUACUCCAGCAUGGAAUAAUAUAAAAGAUUUUUAUCUUUUUUAUUGGUUCUAGGAUAAAAAUAAUGAUUAAUAGGGACAGUUGGGGGCAUUUGUAUUUAACAGUCAGAGGUGAAAUUCUUAGAUUUGUUAAAGACAAACUAGUGCGAAAGCAUUUGCCAAGGAUGUUUUCAUUAAUCAAGAACGAAAGUUAGGGGAUCGAAGACGAUCAGAUACCGUCGUAGU